AUUCCGCCUCGCGAAAACAUUCAAAACAAAAACACUCGAAACGAAAAUAAAAUAUUCACCACCGCCUCGUUUGCCAACAUCGUCUUUACAAGGAAUGUCCAGCAGUGCAUGACAGAGGUCGGUCACUCCCAUUACGUCCAGACAACUGAGGAGCCUUCCCAAAGACAGUUCAUAGGACAAAAUGCAGUUACACAGAUUUUAACGGUGUUGGAAACAAUGAGAGACGAGAACAGGGAAAUGAAGCGGAUGCUGCAGCGGCUCUUGGCUAGGUCAGCUACUGAUGACGAGCCAAUGCAACUGCCAGGGAACAUCAGUCUUCCAAUUGGAGCAAAUGGAUGAGUUUGAAGAGCAUCUUGGUGAUGAAGCUACGAUCCAUCUUUUCUAGGACUGCUGCAUAGUUCAAGCUUUUUUAUCAAAUAUAUUAAGCAAUGUUGUAAAUGUAAUUGACAGUUUUUUCUCCAUUGAUCCUAAACCAUUCCUAUAAGGCUCAUCUUCUAAGAAAGCAUACAAUCUUUUUUAUCUGGAAAUGAAACGGUAUAUAUUCCUUUGCAAAAGAAGAAACAGCAUUCCAGUUUUUGAAGGUUUUAAAAGACAUAUAUAUAUAUAUCAUGUGCAAUUACGAAAAACACUAGAAUGUAUGAAGAUAUCAAAGAUAAUAAUAUGGACUUGUUCUCGAAAAAGGAUUUGCCAUUUAUUUGAGCUUUGGAUUUUUCUGAAGGGUUUUUAAUUUGUAGUUUAUAAAAUAUUUUGUUUAGUGUUGCAAGUAUGUUUUCUACGAAUGUUCUUUGAGUACAUGGUGUGUUAUUUGUAUUGUUUAAAGAUUUAAUAUGCAUGGGUAUGCUUUGUAGUAAUGUGUAGUAUACAUCAGGAAAAUACUUGAAGGUAUUCUGCAUAUGUAAUAUAUAUUUAAUAUCAAAAUAAUAGAAGUCCUUAAUUCUAUAGUCGUAUAACUGGUCGACAUAUAUAAUGUUAUAGAAAAACGUCUUAUUGUUUGAAGUUAUGUCUUUAUUGUUCCAUAAAAUAGUUUUACUGUUGGUUUGGGUUUAUAGGUUAUGAGUAACAUUACUCCAUGCGGAUAGAACAUUAGAUAGAAACAUGUUUUCGUUAGCAACUUAAUGUAAAAUAUUUUUGCUGAUGUUACAUUCAAAAAGUUAGGAAUCACCAUAUUAUUUUAGAAUUUUCUGGUAUAAUAGUUAACGUGGGAUCCUCCUGCUAUGUAUGUAUGAAUCCAUGUAUAUGUGUGUAAUACUUUAUGUGAAUAAAAGUUGAGAGUACUUUAAUAAAUUUUUAAGUCUUUUAACAAAAACCUUGU